rnacentral:rRNA from 1 species
AUUGAACGCUGGCGGCAUGCCUUACACAUGCAAGUCGAACGGUAACAGGUCUUCGGAUGCUGACGAGUGGCGAACGGGUGAGUAAUACAUCGGAACGUGCCUAGUAGUGGGGGAUAACUACUCGAAAGAGUGGCUAAUACCGCAUGAGAUCUACGGAUGAAAGCAGGGGAUCGCAAGACCUUGUGCUACUAGAGCGGCCGAUGGCAGAUUAGGUAGUUGGUGGGAUAAAAGCUUACCAAGCCGACGAUCUGUAGCUGGGCUGAGAGGACGAUCAGCCACACUGGGACUGAGACACGGCCCAGACUCCUACGGGAGGCAGCAGUGGGGAAUUUUGGACAAUGGGCGCAAGCCUGAUCCAGCAAUGCCGCGGGCAGGAUGAAGGCCUUCGGGUUGUAAACUGCUUUUGUACGGAACGAAAAGCCCUGGGUUAAUACCCUGGGGUCAUGACGGUACCGUAAGAAUAAGCACCGGCUAACUACGUGCCAGCCGCCGCAGUAAAAC